rnacentral:tRNA from 1 species
GAGGGUAUAGCUCAGUGGUAGAGUGUUUACUUAGCGUGCACAAGGUCUUGGGUCCAAUACCCAGUACCUCCA